GAGCGGUAAGCUGUAGCAAUACAGCCUAGAGCGGCGGACUGGUGAGUAACACGUGGGUGACCUACCCUUAGGAUGGGGAUAGCCACUAGAAAUAGUGGGUAAUACCGAAUGUGGUUACCGGGCUGUGGCCUGGUAAAGAAAGGAGCUAUGGCUCCGCCUGAGGAUGGGCCCGCGUCCCAUUAGCUAGUUGGUGAGGUAACGGCCCACCAAGGCGAUGAUGGGUAGCCGGCCUGAGAGGGUGAACGGCCACACUGGGACUGAGAUACGGCCCAGACUCCUACGGGAGGCAGCAGCUAAGAAUAUUCCGCAAUGGACGAAAGUCUGACGGAGCGACGCCGCGUGGAUGACGAAGGCCGAAAGGUUGUAAAAUCCUUUUGUCGAUGAAGAAUAAGCAUGGGAGGGAAUGCCCGUGUGAUGACGUUAGUCGGCGAAUAAGCCCCGGCUAAUUACGUGCCAGCAGCCGCGGUAACACGUAAGGGGCGAGCGUUGUUCGGAAUUAUUGGGCGUAAAGGGCGCGUAGGCGGUCCUGUAAGCCCGGCGUGAAACCCUGGAGCUCAACUCCGGGCCUGCGCUGGGAACUGCGGGACUAGAGUCAUGGAAGGGAAGUUGGAAUUCCAGGUGUAGGGGUGAAAUCUGUAGAUAUCUGGAAGAACACCGGUGGCGAAGGCGAACUUCUGGCCAAUGACUGACGCUGAGGCGCGAAAGUGCGGGGAGCAAACAGGAUUAGAUACCCUGGUAGUCCGCACCAUAAACGAUGUACACUAGGCGUUGGGUCGAGUGACUCAGUACCGAAGCUAACGUGAUAAGUGUACCGCCUGGGGAGUAUGCCCGCAAGGGUGAAACUCAAAGGAAUUGACGGGGGCCCGCACAAGCGGUGGAGCAUGUGGUUUAAUUCGAUGGUACGCGAGGAACCUUACCUGGGUUUGACAUACGGGGGAAGGCGGUAGAGAUAUCGCCGCGUCGCAAGACGCCGCCGUACAGGUGCUGCAUGGCUGUCGUCAGCUC
rnacentral:rRNA from 1 species